CCGAAGUCCUGAGUCAGGCGAAAGACGCCGGAUCACGCCGCUGCAGACAGGCAGGUCUGCCCACACCCUGCCGAGGUCCCCAGUCGCGCGGAACACACGCCGAAUCAGCCCCCUGCAGACAGGCAGGUCUGUGCACGCCCUGCUGAGGUCCUGAGUCUCGCGGAAGACGCCGAAUCAGCCCGCUGCAGACAGGCAGGUCUGUGCACGCCCUGCUGAGGUCCUGAGUCACGCGGAAGACACCGAAUCAGCCCACUGCAGACAGGCAGCCACCUGAUUCCACAUUACCAAGGCGCAGAGGACAUCAGACCACCAGACCAAGAAAAACAACAGCAGAACUUGUGCCAAGGGACUUUCUAGAAAAAGAUGUUCAACUGCUAAGAUGUCAAGGAGAGACAUUGUUUCUCUCUGUCAUUAAACUUUCGUUGCAUGGAAGGAGGUUUCAAGAGAUUGUUGCUUACUCAUGUACAAGGAUGAACAAACAGAAUAUGCAGAUGCUGGCAGCAGGAGGCCUGGAGCCCAGUUUCUUCUCCACAAGAAAGGGGACAGUGAGCUGAAGAUGACUACAAGUGACACAGGUGAGCAGGUGAACCACAGCAUGUGCGCCUAAGCGGCUGGAAACACUGGGAGCUUGCAGAAACCGGCCCUUGGAGACCCGCUCCAUCAGUCUGUGCUUUAACACGGUGCCCAGGAAGAGCCAGAUGAGCUUGCUGUCACUAUCUUCAACCUGCCAUGUGAGGAGAUAGCAAGAGUUAUCUGCACAAAAGGAAGACAGCCCUCAUCAGACAUCUGAUCUUCCCGCGGCUUGAUCUUGGACUUGCCAGCCUUCAGGACUGUGAGAGAUGAAAGUUCAAGCCAAUCCAUGGUCUAUUUGUUAAAGUACUCUGAGCUGACCAACACAGUUGUGGAAUAAAUAUGCAUAGGCAUUUUUCUGGAACUUUACUACUAUUCUCCAAGACCAGAGCACAAAGAAAGUGCAGGUAGGGUAUGGCAACUAAAUGCUUAAAUUUUGUA
rnacentral:lncRNA from 1 species